rnacentral:rRNA from 1 species
UACGUAGGCAGCGAGCGUUGUUCGGAGUUACUGGGCGUAAAGGGUGCGUAGGCGGUUGUUUAAGUUUGGUGUGAAAUCUCCCGGCUCAACUGGGAGGGUGCGCCGAAUACUGAAUGACUAGAGUGCGGGAGAGGAGAGUGGAAUUCCUGGUGUAGCGGUGAAAUGCGCAGAUAUCAGGAGGAACACCAAUGGCGAAGGCAGCUCGCUGGGACGGUACUGACGCUGAGACGCGAAAGCGUGGGGAGCAAACAGG